GCCUACGGGAGGCAGCAGUGGGGAAUAUUGGACAAUGGGCGAAAGCCUGAUCCAGCCAUGCCGCGUGGGUGGAGAAGGCCUUAGGGUUGUAAACCCCUUUCAGCGGGGAAGAUAAUGACGGUACCCGCAGAAGAAGUCCCGGCUAACUCCGUGCCAGCAGCCGCGGUAA
rnacentral:rRNA from 1 species